UACGUAGGGUGCAAGCGUUAAUCGGAAUUACUGGGCGUAAAGCGUGCGCAGGCGGCUUUGCAAGACAGAUGUGAAAUCCCCGGGCUCAACCUGGGAACCUGCAUUUGUGACUGCAAGGCUGGAGUACGGCAGAGGGGGAUGGAAUUCCGCGUGUAGCAGUGAAAUGCGUAGAUAUGCGGAGGAACACCGAUGGCGAAGGCAAUCCCCUGGGCCUGUACUGACGCUCAUGCACGAAAGCGUGGGGAGCAAACAGG
rnacentral:rRNA from 1 species